rnacentral:rRNA from 1 species
GACAGAGGUCUCAAGCGUUAGGCGGAAUCACUGGGCUUAGAGCGUGUGUAGGCGGAUCGUUAAGUGCCUUGUGAAAUCCCACAGCUCAACUGUGGAACUGCUUGGCAUACUGGCGGUCUUGAGCCAUCUAGGGGUCGCUGGAACAAACGGUGGAGCGGUGAAAUGCGUAGAUAUCGUUUGGAACGCCAAUGGUGAAAACAGGCGACUGGGGAUGUGCUGACGCUGAGACACGAAAGCCAGGGGAGCAAACGGG